AUUAUUUUUCAGAGUUGGUUUCAAUGCAGAUUCUCCAACAAACCUGAGAAGGAUCAUCACAGUCAUACUCCUGCUGAAUCAAUACAGGACUCAAAUGAAGAAGACUAUGAGAACAUAGUGAUGGAGACCCAAACAUCUGCAGACAUUACAACCAGACCAGGUUGAAGUGCCAGUUGGCUGGUUCAGAUCCCAAGAUUGGCAAAAGACGCUUUAGAUUACAUAUUUUUCUUUGUGACUAAAUGUAAAUGUUGUGCAGUACAUUGUAACAAAUAAAAAUUAUGCAACACAGCAUCAAUUUAGCUUAUUUACACAAAUGAGACAGACAAAGAAUGGACAUUUUCUUUGAAAAUGGAAAUAUUCUGAAGUUUUUUGGUACAGAAGAACUUUAAAGUAUGACCGUGUGGACCAAACAAGACAAGACCAGAACAGCAUCAUCAGUUGUAAAAAAAAAAAAAAAAAAAACACUUGUUUUCAAAAAUGUCCAGAUAAACAAGACUGGCCCCAUAGAAGAGGAUAAAAUAAUAAUAAUAACUUAAAGCUUAAAUUAUACAGAGGACAACUCAACAACCUGACAAUCCU